GGUGAGAUGGCCGAGUUGGUUAAAGGCAACAGACUGUAAAUCUGUCGACAUUGUCUACGUAGGUUCGAAUCCUACUCUCACCACCA
rnacentral:tRNA from 1 species